rnacentral:rRNA from 1 species
CUAUUAUGGAGAGUUUGAUCCUGGCUCAGGACGAACGCUGGCGGCGUGCCUAAUACAUGCAAGUCGAGCGGAUCUUGUCCUUCGGGACAAGGUUAGCGGCGGACGGGUGAGUAACACGUAGGCAACCUGCCUGUAAGAUCGGGAUAACAUUCGGAAACGGAUGCUAAUACCGGAUA